rnacentral:lncRNA from 1 species
CGUGCUGACUCAAAAUCCUGGAUUCGCCACUGAGCAUGACUACAAAUCUAUACUAGGCAUCUUAGAGUUGACCAUUUGGUGUGUGUGUGUAUGUGAGAACACCUUUACACACAUAAUCAUCAUUUAGAAUGAUGUGAUUUGCAUCAUUGUUAAUAGGCUAGCCGCAAAGAUAAUAAUUACUAGAAUGAGACGUCUAUUCCAGGCUCAAAUAGCAUGUUUGAGGAGGUUAGCUUGCGUAUAUUUUGGUGGUUGCAGCAACAUCCUUCUGUGAUUUGGGGUCUUAGGUUAGGUGUCUAUAAUGGAGAUAACAUUUUGGUGGGUGCAAUUUGGAUAGAGAUAAAGGCAUGGUAGCUGUUGGGCGUACAUCUGUUUUUAAUGGAUUAUUGGACAAUCAAAGUAAAACCGCGGGGACUAAAUUGAAGUAAAACUCCCUUCAUAGGAAUGGGUUACAGUUUAGAGAAUUAUUUCUUCAUAAUGAAAAUGGAUCGCAUUAUAUUCUUUAAGUUAAUUUGCCCAUGGAAAUUUGAAAAUUGGUUCUUCAUAAUGAAAAUGGAUCGCAUUAUAUUCUUUAAGUUAAUUUGCCCAUGGAAAUUUGAAAAUUGGUUCUUCAUAAUGAAAAUGGAUCGCAUUAUAUUCUUUAAGUUAAUUUGCCCAUGGAAAUUUGAAAAUUGGUUCUUCAUAAUGAAAAUGGAUCGCAUUAUAUUCUUUAAGUUAAUUUGCCCAUGGAAAUUUGAAAAUUGGUUCUUCAUAAUGAAAAUGGAUCGCAUUAUAUUCUUUAAGUUAAUUUGCCCAUGGAAAUUUGAAAAUUGGGAUACGACUGUGUAAGGAGAAGCCUGUGCGCUUAAAGAUUUCAAAUAAUCUUUUAGAAGAGGAAUUCGAGGAUGCAUUCUGCUUGGUAGGCCAAACAUCUCAAUUUGCUACACAUUUCAAUAAUAUUUUUACUGUAAAUGUAAGUCAACAGGAUUGCACCUACUUUAUCCCACUUGUGACUACAUUUACCUGGUCCUGGUCAUAGUCCACGCAUUAGUUUUACCCUGGUGAUGCAUGGUGCAAAAGGAAAUGCACUUCUUUUUAAUUAAUUUACAUUUAACCCUACCUGUGAGGAUGACAUAUUACUAUGAAUUACCAAAUAUUUUCGGAAUCUUUCUGUCUGAUACAAUGCUAAUGUUUGAAAAUGACCAAUCAGGUACCGAGAGCAUAAGCCUUUAGAUAAACCAAUGAAAUAAUUCAAAAGAAUAAAAAAGUACAAAAACAUCCUCAUAAUAAACCACCUUAAUACAAAUUAAUAAAAUGAAAAGUCUAGUUUGCAACAAACAUAAAGUAGAUCAAUAAAGUAGCAAAGAAUAAGUUCUCCAAUCAGUAAUCAAGUAGCAAAAUUUUAAUCUAGUACCAAUUAGAAAUAGCCAAGGACUCUCCCUUAUCAUCACCAAUAGAAUCAUUGAAACAUAUUUAAUUCUCCUAUUCCUAAUCAUUUUCAGUUUCUUGUAAUGUUUUCUCAUGUCCUACAUGUGCAAUGGUGACUUCACUUUACAUAGAAAGCUAUGACGAUGGAUGGACACUCCUACUAUGGUCGUGUCUGCAUACAACAUGUUUUGUGUCAUGUUGGUCUCCAACAGUACUUGGACACCCAAAGACAUGUUUUAUAUGCGUUUUUCCUUCCUUGGAAUUAGUAAUCUAUUGUUUAACUCAAAGUUUGUUAACACAAUAAAUAGCUUCUCAUCCAAUUAAAAGAUUUCAAAAGCGAAAAUAAAAUCUAAAUAAGUAUUUAAUUUAUUAAGAAAUGAAAAUUAAAAAUAAAGUUUAGUAUAUAAAUCUAAAAUUAUAAAGAAUUAAAAUUAACGUGUCCAUUUUAUUCAAAUCAAGUGUCGGAUGUCUCUAUCAUGUCGUGUUCGUGUCGUGUGUCUGUUUCCGUGAAACAUAGGUGUAAAGGCAGAAAUGAAAGCAAUACACUUGUAAUACUUUCUAAGAUGUAAAAUAAGGGCAUAAACUCUUGAGGUCAGCUUUAUAAAGUCUAGAAAGGCUGGACAAAUGAAAGCACAUCUCAGCUGCCACCAGGACUAGCCUUGUGGCAUAAGACUCAGUAAGUCAAGAUGUAAACCUUAUUAAAUUGAGGCGUAAGAAUACAAACCCAUUGUAAAAAAAUUGAGUAGCCUCACGUAAGGCAGGCCUCAAGGCAUAGCCUUUAGACAACCUUUUAAAACAACUAUUUCCUGGUAACGAUCGCUAACUUAAAACUCUAAAGAGGUCAGUCCACAGUUCCAUUACCAAUAUCAAUAUUGACUGGACUAGCCAUUAGAGGUGUGUGAAGAGUUAAAUGAUAAAAUUAUAAAUAUAUUUUCAUGCCGCAUUCAUUAUGAAGUUUGGGUACCUGUUUUCAGAACUAUGAGAUUUGAUUCUUGAAGCUCCAUAUGCAGACUUUGCAACUGAUUCACAUUUUUUUCACCCUUUUGUUUGUGUC